rnacentral:lncRNA from 1 species
GCGGCGUUGGGGGAGGGCGGGAUGCUGGGGAGGCAGUGGGGGCGUGCUGUGGGGGCAUCCUGGGCGUGGGCCGGUCCACCGGGGUUCAGCGGCCGCAGGUAGUGGGAACGGGGCUGGGCGACGGGGCACAGGCCACACGCAAGGAGAAGUGAGCUUGCUUGGCUGCGAAAGCAUGGGGCGGGGGGCAGCUGUGGAUGCUGCGCUGUUUGGGUUUUGCCUGACGUCAUUUUUCUUUCUGGUCCAGCGGCCUCCCGGAUGCUUGCGGCAGAAGGCGCUGGUGUACCCCUAUCAUGGGCAGCAACCCCUUGGGAAGAGCUGAAGACCAGCCAGGGGAGAGGGAAAAAAAAAAAGCACAGAACACAUGCUGGUUCCAGAUUCCUGGCAAGAAUCAGAGCGCCUGUGCUGUGCUGAAAGCCGGCCCAAGCACAGAGCAGCAGAGGCCACUUGGAGCAGCUGCUGUCGACUUCCGCCUCGCUGGACAGCAUCCCUUCAGAUCCAUCUUUUCAAGAAACUGUGGCCAGGACACUGCUGAUCUGCUUGCUGUCAUCUCUCGUGUGGUUCUUGGGUGUCUCUUCAGAACAUGCUCCGAGGCUCCUCUUACGUUUCCCUGCAAAGAACCCUUGUAAGGGGGCUGCCUACACAUGGCCUGCAUCUCUCGUUUCUACCACUGAGUUAGAGACACCUCCUUGCUCAUUUGGCAACAGCAGCAGCAGAAGUUGGAAUCUGUGCCACCUGGGACGUACCUGAGCCGGAGCCGAAGCAUGUGGUACUCUCAGUACGGGAACGAGGCCAUCCUUGUCCGGGACAGA